AGCGGAGUGGUGUAGUGGUUAGAGCACGGGCCUGGCAGUCAGAAGGAUCUGGGUUCUAAUCCCGGCUCCGCCG
rnacentral:tRNA from 1 species